rnacentral:lncRNA from 1 species
AGAAAUGCAUGACAAUGGUAACUUUGUGCUCUACAAUUCCAAUCACAGUGUAAUUUGGCAGAGCUUCGAUCACCCAACCGACUCCCUUCUGCCCGGACAGCGCCUUCCACCAGGUGGGAUGCUUCUAUCCAGAGCUUCAGAGACGGACAUUAAGACAGGAAUUUUCAGGCUCCGGAUGCAAUAUGAUGCAAACCUUGUGUUGUACUAUGUGUACGGACUAGACACGGCAAUAGAUGCUUACUAUUCAACAAAUACCUAUGGGCAUGGCAACGUCACGUUGAAUCUUGAAAAUGAUGGUCAUCUUUAUUUGUUCGAUGGAUUUUCUGUCGUGUGAAUUUAACCACACAAGGGAACCAUAUAAUAGGGACCAUCUAUCUUGCGAGGCUUGAUUGGGAUGGCAUUCUUCGACUGUACAGUCGAUCACUGCAGCAAGAAGAUAGCUGGAAAUCAAUAUGGUCAGUCACGGAGGACAAAUGUUUACCUAAAGGUUUGUGUGGCAUUAAUAGCUACUGCACUUACAAAGAUGAAGAUGCUGAUUGCAGAUGCCUUCCGGGAUUUGGUUUUGCUCAUGAAGGCGAAUGGAGCGCCGGCUGCACCACCAAUUUUAGGGUUGACUGCAGAGACACAUAU